AUCUAGUAUACAUAAUAUUAUAUUGUAUACAAUUAUACAUUUAUACUACUUAUUAGUGUCUUACGUAACUUAUAAAUUAUAGCGACGAAAAAUAUAUUGUAUUUAUCUAUAUAGGCAGUAGGUAUAGUAGGUAACUAAUGUUUAUUUUAAAUUUAACAAUAUCAACAUGCGAUUUUAGUGAAUUACACUGGCGUGACUUCAGAAAAUAAAAAUUAUAACUUAUAAUAGAGAAAGUACACUUUCAAAAUCACAAAAAAAAAACAUGAAUGUCCCACGUUAAAUGAUUCAAUAUUUCAAUCUUGAUUCCAAGGCAAUACGCAAAUAAUAGGACGAUUCACAAUGCAUACAACACACACAAAAGACAAAUACAAGUACAACAAGCAACGCACGAACACAUCGUGUUUCGAUUAUUUACUCACAUCAUACGCUUCAGAGCCCAUAAGUUGUUUCCAAUGACGUUCGCGAAUCGCCGGGUUUUGCAGUUCGCCGACAGCCCUCAGAGACGUUACCAUAUUCUUCACUGUAGCUUCUAAACACGUAUAGGUGUCCCACGAUCGCAUUUCUUUGUCCAAC